rnacentral:lncRNA from 1 species
AUGCAGAAGUCCCCAGGCCAGGGACUGAACCCAUGCCACAGCAGUGACAAUGUCAGAUCCUUAACCAUUAGGCCACCAGGUAACUCAACUCCUAAAGUAGCAACUCUUUUGUCUUUUGUCUUUUUUUUUUUUUUAGGGCCGCACCUGAGGCAGAUGGAGGUUCCCAGGCUAGGGGUAGAAUUGGAGCUGAAGCCGCCAGCCUACACCUCAGCCACGCCAGAUCCAAGCCAUGUCUGUAACCUAUACCACAGCUCACGGCAACAUCGGAUCCUUAACCCACUGAGCAAGGCCGGGAUGGGACCCACAUCCUCAUGGAUGCUAUUCAGGUUCGUUAACUGCUGAGCCAUGACAGGAACUUCCUAAAGUAGCAACUUUAAUCUUAGAUUGGGGGUGGCAAAGACAGACCCUGAAAAGCUUCACUAUCUUCCCAGAAAAGGGGACUAAAUUUUUUUUUUACACAUAAUUUUCAGGGAGCUCCCGAGGCAACUUGCGGAAAUAAAUUAUUUCACUGAUGACCUGCUUUUAUGUUCUUUCUCAUUUAAUCCUCAAGCCAAGCCUGUGAGAGUAAAAUUACUAUCAUUUAAUAAGAGUAAGAUACUCUGCACAAGAGUAAGCAGUUUCUAAAUCUUAUUACUUACUAAACACCUAUCUAUGUGUCAGACACUGUUUUAAGCAUUUUUUAAUGUAUUAUCUCAUUUAAUCUUCCCAACAACCCUGUGAAAGAGGAACUAUUAUCAUUCCUAUUUUAGGAAUGAGGAAACUGAAAUAAAAGGCUACCUUCCCAAAAUCAGCAGCUUGUAAGAGAUGAAGCUGGAAUCUGACAGUGUGGCUCCAGAUUUCCUACUUUUUUUAAACCAAUUCUACAUAUAUAAUAUACAACAGUGUCUGUAUUAAUACACUCUAAAAUGCACCUAUUUAAGUGUAUAGUCCUGUGAAUUUUUUCAACUAUACAAUCGAUGUAACUUCUACUCCUCAAAUUUUUUUAAGACUUUUUUUUCCAAGAAGUUUUAGGUUCACAGCAAAGAUGAAAGGAACAUAAAAGAAUGUUAUGGAAUCCCCAAAGCAGGGAGGGGCAGAAAAGAUAUUUGGGAAAGUAAUGGUCAAAAAUUUUCUAAAUUUGAUGAAUACUAUAAAUGCACAAAUCCAAAAAGCUCAACAAACCCCAAACACAAGAAACGAAGAAGUCUAGGACAGAUGAUAAGCAAAUUGCUCAAAACCAGUAAUAAAAUCUUAAAAGCAGAACAAAAAACAUGUGUUACAUUCAGAGGAACAAAGAACAGAAUGACAGAAGAUCUGUCAAAAACAAGGCAAAUAAGAAGACAGUAGACAACGCCUUUUAAGUACUGAAAGAAAAAACUGACAACCUAGGAUUCUAUUCCCAAAGAAUAUUUCAAAAGUAAAGGCAAAAUAAAGAUUUUUUAGACAUUACAAAUGCUGAUAGAAUUCAUCAGCAGCAGACCUGUACUACACGAAAUGUUAGAAGUCCUUCAAAAAUGCCAACAACAUGAACUAAAGUCAAAUGAUCAUCUCAAUAGAUGCAAAUGGUUUCCCUGGAUAAUUCUAUUGAACAUUUAAAGAAUACCAAUUGUAUGCAAUUUAUCUUCCAGAAAAUGAGAGGAAGAAAUACUUCCCAACUCAUUUUACAAAACCAAAGACAGUAGCCCCCACCAAAAAAAUUAAUUCUACACACACACAACACUACAGACCAAUGUCCUUCCCAAAUAUAAACACACAAAUCUUUAACAAAAUUUUAGUAAAUUCAAUAAUAUACAACAUGAGCAUGUGGAGUUUAUUCCUGGGAUGCAAGGCUAGCUCAAUAUUGAAAAAUCAAUAUAACUGACACCACAUUAAUAGGCUAAAGAAGAAAAAUCAUAAUUAUAUCCACUGAUGCAGAAAAAGCAUUUAAAACAAUUCAAAACAUAUUUAUGAUAGGAGCUCCCAUCAUGGCUCAGGGGUAAUGAAUCUGACUAGUAUCCAUGAGGACUCGGGUUUGAUCUGUGGCCUCACUCAGUGGGUUAAGAAUCUGGUGUUGCCAUGAGCUGUGGGGUAGGUCACACACGUGGCUUGGAUCUGGUGUUGCUGUGGCUGUGGCCAACAGCUGCAGCUCCGAUUCUACCCCUAGCCUGGGAACUUCCAUAUGCUGUGGGUACAGCCCUAAAAAGACCAAAAAUAUACAUAUUUUUUUCAUGACUAAAAAAAAAAAAAAAAAAACUCAGAAAACUAGAAACAGAGAUCUUUGUCAACCUAAUAAGAGACCUCUCUGGAAAACCUACAGUUAACAUUAUACUUAAUGGUGAAAGACUAUAUUCCCUCCAGGAUUGGAAAACAAGGCAAGGAUGUCUACCCUCACCAUUUCUCUAUCAUACUAGAGAGCCUAGCCAGGACAAUAAAGAAAGAAAAAGAAACAAAAGGCAUACGGACUGAAAAGGAAAACAAAACAUUGUUCCUAUUCCCAGACAACAUGACUGUCUAUGCAGAAAAGAAUCAGGAAUUGAAAUUGAGAUAAUCUCAUUCUUUAUCUACAAUUUUUCCAUUUCUAACCCAUCUCCUUCUAGGAAUUUUUCCUUACAAUCCUUCCCUAACAGUGUCCAAAGCCAAAACCAUAGAUCUGGAUAGCUAAGGAUAUGAGACUUCAAAAACACAAACUAUAAUGUGAAAAACUGAUGUAUUUGAUUAUAUCAAAUUAAGAAUUUCUGUUCAACAAAGGAAAAUUCUGCUUAAAAUUGAAGUAUUCUAUCCAUUAUUUUUUUCUGUGACUUGGGAGAAAAUAUUCAGCAACAUUCGAUUUUAACAGCAACUCAGAACACCAAAGUUCUACGGGAAUAUACCUUGAAAACUGCUAUUAAUUUAUCCAUGACUAAGAAGAAUGAAGAUACAUAUAUACAACUCCCCUUUAAAAAAAAAAGUGGUGAGGGACCAGGACAGACAUCGGACAGGUUGAGUCAAUUAGAUUCUCUCCCUUAAGAAUCCAGGACUGAGUCACAGGACUAGAGUCAGUUAUAUGACUUGUUCUAGAAUUUAGGUCCACAAGCGGACCAAAAUCAUCUGAGGAAUUUUUUUGAAAAUAGAUUAGAUUCCCAGGUCCCAGAGAUUCUGAUUCAGAGGGUACAAGAUGGGGUCCCAGAAAAAAAUUUAAGUUCCCAAGGUGAUUCUAGGGCAUAACCAGCCAGAUUUAGGACCUGCUUAGUUAAAUAAAAGUGCUUAAAACUCAAAGGUACAUGGCCUAACAAUGAUCCCAAGUAGGAAGAGCCCACUGGGAGGAGGGAGAUAGAAAAUCCAACACAAGAGUCUGUGUGGUCCUCGAGAGACUAAAAGAGCCUAGAGCCUAAGAGACCAACUGUGGAAACUCAGCCACUGGGUGUUCAGGUCCAGACUCUAUGUGACUUGGCAUGGAUGCCUACGCAAGUGUCUGCUAUUUCCUUAAUAUAAGAUCAUUGACAGACAGGAAAACUUUAAAUUUCCUCUAAGAUUUUCAGCUACAGUUGGUCUGCUUACUCGCCCAGGUAAAUAAUAAAAUGCCCAUUUUUAUUUUAGAGUAUCUUUCCUUCCCAUGUAGUCUGCCUGUGAUCUAGAUUUAUUGAUACAUGGCACUUACUCAGAGCCAUAAGAGCUUAUCAAUAUAAGGAAAGGCAUCUUGGAAUAUCUAAGCAGCCCAAAUCCAAGGCCCUUCAGAGAACCUCAAGAUCAAUUGGAGGAACAAAAACCAAUCCAUAGUCUCAGAAAUAACCCUUCAGAGCAAAGUCAACAUUAAAGCCAAGAAAACCCCUUGCUGUUUUAAAAAAGUAUGUAAAGAAGCAUGAUUCCAAAAAUGGUGAAAACUAUCUGCUUGCCCUGGUUCUGGCGAUGAACUGGCUGUGCAAUUUAGCGCAAGAAAUGAGAGACAAUGGUGCACAAAGAGGACUAAAACGUGAGCACAUGUGGACUGGCUGCAACAUAGCUUUAAAGACUUCUCUAGAAUCCAAUUUCCCCACCCGUAAACAUAUCGCUAAGAAUGACCUCUUUCACUUCUGAUAUCUUGUAACUAUCAUUCUAAAUCAGAAAGAUGUGCCAACUGUUUUGCAAAAUGCAAAGUCACAUUUUGGUUGUUAAUGUGAGGUUCAUGGUUUAUGCACCAAAAUAUUGAGUUAAAUAAAUACACAUAAUAAUUUCCCAAGUUCCUGACUUACAAAAGUACUUUGCCCUGAACAUCAAUUUAACAGACACUUAAGUGAAAGUCAUUAGGUCACUUGUCUUAGGCUAGUGAUUUUUAGAGAGUAGUGGAGAUAUAUCUUAGAGGGAAAAGAAGGGACCCACCACAUAGAACUACUUUUUACUGUUUUAGAUGUCUAAAUUUCAAAUAGAUUUCCUCUGACAAAGAGUUCCAUAGCUUUAAAAACAUGGCUCAAAGAGCAUAUACGCAAACAAACAAGAUAGGUGUGUUUAUUGUCCAGCUUACCAGUGAAGAACCUAAGGUACAGAGAGGUUAAAGUACUUCCUGAAGUUAGGCAUGUAGGCAAUGAGGAAGCUGGAACUAGAAGCCAGGCAGUUCAGCUCAAGUCCACAUUCCUAACUACUAUGACCCAGCUCACUAUGCUACAGCUACUACACCAUGAAACAAUUUAGAAAAUAAAGACAAAAAUACAAUGUAAAUCUCCAAAGCUCCCAAAUGCAUACAAAAAUAUAAAGAUACUCAUUAGAAUGACUUGCGAGGCUGUUUCCAAUUCGGCCUUGCCUAGACUCUUCACCUUCCUCUGCCACAACCCCUACCCUAUACAUACACACAACAUUACAGUCACAUUGAGCUUCUGAUCAGGACUGAGUCACCCCCUAUGCCUUGUAUGUGCAUUUACCAUUUACUGAGCUAUUUCCAAAAGACUGAGCACUGGGCAAAACACUUUAUACACCCCCCUCAUUUAUCCACAUAAAAAUAUUGUGAGGUAGGAAGUAUUUCUGAAUUUUACAAAAUAGUCUUAGAGAAAUUAAAUAGCUUACUCAAGGACAAACAUCUUGAGUACAUGAACUCAAAUUCAGGUCUAUUCUUACUUCAAAGGACAUGCUCUUGAACCCAAUUUCCCUGCCUAAAUGUGCUCCAUCCUCAAUGUCCAAUUCCUUCAAGAUGCGUCUACAACAGUGCUUGGCAAGGAGUAAGCAUUUAAGAGAUAAUGAAUGAAUGAAUGAAAUGGCUCCUCUCUGGAGGCUCCUCUGACUCCCUUACAAAACUGUUGCUCUCUUUACACUAUCACAAAACUUGUUUCAAAGUUCUAUUAAAGGCUUCCCAGGUCUUAGUCUAUACUUCUUACUUGUACGUACAUGUUACCCACUAGACUAGGAAUUUUGUUUCACUUCACCUCUAUUCUCAGCCCCCCAGCAAAAGGCCUGGCUUUUAAUAAGCACUGCAUUUGUUAACUGAAUGGAUUUCCUUGAGGAGGAGAAGACAGAUGAGUAGGAGAUUCAUGAUUCAUAUUGAAAUUUCUUCUUCCUUGGGAAAUAAACAAUAUUCAGAGUUAUAAUAUACUCAAAUGAGUUCCCGUGGUGGCGCAGUGGUUAACGAAUCCGACUAGGAACCAUGAGGUUGCGGGUUCAGUCCCUGCCCUUGCUCA